rnacentral:rRNA from 1 species
UACGUAGGGGGCAAGCGUUGUCCGGAUUUAUUGGGCGUAAAGAGCGUGUAGGCGGCUUUACAGGUCCGUUGUGAAAACUCGAGGCUCAACCUCGAGACGCCGGUGGAAACCGUAAAGCUAGAGUCCGGAAGAGGAGAGUGGAAUUCCUGGUGUAGCGGUGAAAUGCGCAGAUAUCAGGAGGAACACCCGUGGCGAAAGCGGCUCUCGUGGGACGGUACUGACGCUGAGACGCGAAAGCUAGGGGAGCAAACGGG